GACGUAGGGUGCGAGCGUUGUCCGGAUUUAUUGGGCGUAAAGAGCUCGUAGGCCGGCUCGUCGCGUCGACCGUGAAAACCCGCGGCUUAACUGCGGGACUUGCGGUUGAUACGGCGGGCUAGAGUUCGGUAGGGAGACUGGAAUUCCUGGUGUAGCGGUGAAAUGCGCAGAUAUCAGGAGGAACACCGGUGGCGAAGGCGGGUCUCUGGCCGAUACUGACGCUGAGGAGCGAAGCGUGGGAGCGAACAGG
rnacentral:rRNA from 1 species